rnacentral:rRNA from 1 species
UACGGAGGGGGCUAGCGUUGUUCGGAAUUACUGGGCGUAAAGCGCACGUAGGCGGAUAUUUAAGUCAGGGGUGAAAUCCCGGGGCUCAACCCCGGAACUGCCUUUGAUACUGGGUAUCUGGAGGUCGAGAGAGGCGAGUGGAAUUCCGAGUGUAGAGGUGAAAUGCGUAGAUAUCUGGAGGAACACCGGUGGCGAAGGCGGCAUUCUGGACCAAUACUGACGCUGAGGAGCGAAAGCCAGGGGAGCAAACGGG